rnacentral:rRNA from 1 species
GACGAACGCUGGCAGCGUGCUUAACACAUGCAAGUCGAACGAAGAGCGAUGGAAGCUUGCUUCUAUCAAUCUUAGUGGCGAACGGGUGAGUAACGCGUAAUCAACCUGCCCUUCAGAGGGGGACAACAGUUGGAAACGACUGCUAAUACCGCAUACGAUCUAAUCUCGGCAUCGAGGAUAGAUGAAAGGUGGCCUCUACAUGUAAGCUAUCACUGAAGGAGGGGAUUGCGUCUGAUUAGCUAGUUGGAGGGGUAACGGCCCACCAAGGCGAUGAUCAGUAGCCGGUCUGAGAGGAUGAACGGCCACAUUGGGACUGAGACACGGCCCAGACUCCUACGGGAGGCAGCAGUGGGGAAUCUUCCGCAAUGGACGAAAGUCUGACGGAGCAACGCCGCGUGAGUGAUGACGGCCUUCGGGUUGUAAAGCUCUGUUAAUCGGGACGAAAGGCCUUCUUGCGAAUAGUGAGAAGGAU